ensembl:lincRNA
AAGGAAGUGACCCCUGAGUGAGAGCCCUUAUCUAGAAAUGGAGCAUUCAAUCUUUAGGUCAAAAUUCCACUUGCUAUUUAGAAGGAAAGAGACCUGCAGUUAAAUUUGAAAUGAUGGACAACUUGACCCCAAAAAGACCUUGCUGUAAUUUGAAUUCCUGUUGGCUGUCUGAAAGGUGAGAUACGGUUAGAGCUAAAGAUACUUGUUUUCAGGUUUCAGGAAUGAAGCGCAUUGAUCCUGUUCCUAGAGAUCAGUCAUAGGGGUAAACAGAAGGCUCUCUGAUUUAUGACCAACCUGCUGAUAGUUCCUUGGAGAGGUCCACCAUGCUCAGAUUGAGAACCGUUUGAGGAACCGGGAAUUCAGACUUUGCAAGGGAAACUGCCCGAUUCAGUCCCCAUUUCAGAAAUGAAAG